rnacentral:pre_miRNA from 1 species
GAUAUCAACUGAAAAAGUCAUCAACAACAAAGUUAAAUAACUCAUCAAGAUCUAAAACUUUUAUUUUGGUCAUUUCUUCAUACAACAAAGUGAUAGUAACAUUGUUCAUAAAAUUGACAUAUCUCUUAUCUGGUUUUAUAAACUAUAACACAUAUAUGUAAAAUUUGUGAAUAAUGUUACUAACAUUUUGUCAGAUGAAGAAAUAACAAAAAUAAAAGUUUUAGAUCUUGAUGAGUUAUUCAACUUUGUUGUUGAUGACUUUUUCAAUUGAAAUC